GUGCAAUAAGAUGGGACAAUUCCACAUAAUUCUUACCACCAGAGUUCCACAUCCCAUCCCCUCCAUUGAAAGAUUUCCUACUCUUUAUCCCUCUGGGAGCAUGGACCCAGGAUCAUUAUGGGGUGCAGAAGGUGAAAGGUCUGGCUUCUAUAAUUGCCUCUCCGGUAAAAAUUAGAUAAUACACAUCAAGGAAAAUUUAAGUGACUAGAGCAGGUAUGAUGUAGAAUGAGUGUAACAAUGUGAACAAAUUCAAGAUGUACUUUCAAGAACUUCCAGACCUGCAACAGAGGACAGGGUUCUUACUGGGGAUCACUACCUGCAUGACUCUACUGUUCCUGGAAGCCAUUUUAUGAGGGUGAUUAAGAGAGAAAGAGAGAGGGAGAGAAAUAAGGCACCUACAGUAUUGCUCCACCAUUGUGAAGCUUUUUUCCUGCAAAUGGGGACUAGAGAUUUGAUUUUUUUUUCUUUUUAAUUACCAAGGCACUGUUGACCUCUGGUUUAUGGUGGUAUGGGGGAAUUAAACCUGGGACUUUGGAGUCUCAGAUAUGAGAAUCUUUUUGCAUAACCAUUAUGCUAUCUACCCCCAGCUGGGACUAGAGAUUUGAAUCUGGGUCCGCAAAAUACCACUAGGCUCCAUCUGUAUUCUUUUUUCUUUUUAAUUUCCAGCAGGUAAUCACUGGUAGCAGUGCCUGCACUAUGAAUCCACUGCUCUGGGAAGUGAUUUUUUUUUCUUUCUUUUAUUGAUAUAGACAGGGAAACAGAGGAAAGAGGAGACAUAGCAAGAGAGAGAAACAGAGACACCUGAAGCACUUUUUCACCACUUGUGAAGAAGGUCCUUCUGCAUAGUGAUAUGUGUACUCUGUGGGGUGAGCCAACAUUUGACCCCUCCAUCAGAAUUAUUUAAGGGCCUGUAUUUAACACUGUAAUGUAAAAAAAAAAAAAAUGAACUGCAAAUCAUAUAUAACAUGCUGCAUUUUUUGUUUUGUUUUGUGAAUUGAGGGCAUUAAAAUAAAAAGAUAGAUGUAGGAAAAUUGGCAAUAUUAACUUGGUCAAUUUACUUUAGUGAUAACAAUUAAUUUACCACCAUAAUUAAUGACUUAUAAAAUGCUUAUCAAACCACACUGAGAUAGCAUCAUAUACCUUUAAUAAAGCAAUUAAAUAAAAAUAUUGACUGAGCCCUAAAAUAACUUACCUGGUUGGUGCACUUGUUUUGCUAUGUGAAUCAUAUUCAAGCCUGGAUCAGAUACCACUCAGUGUCUUUCUUUUGUUUUUUCUUUCUCUGUCUCUCUCUAUCUGAAAAAAGUUGAUCUCAGAGUGUAGAAGACCUAAAAAUAACAAAAGUACUAGUGAUAGCACCAAAAUGAAGACAAAGAUGCAAAGAAAAUGGAUCUCUCAUAGACUGUGGGAAUAUAAAGUGUUAUGGUCACUUUGAAAAAUAGUUUGGAGGGGUCUGGACUGUGGUGCACUCAGUAAAGUGCACAUAUCACCAUGCGCAAGGAUCUGGGUUCCAGGCUCUGCUCCCCAUCUGCAGAUAGGAUAUGCUUCAUGAGUGGUAAAGCAGGUCUGCAGGUGUCUAUGUUUUCUCUCCCUCUUUAUCUCCUUUCUCUCUCAAUUUCUCUUUGUCCU